ensembl:lncRNA novel transcript
GAGAACAGGUAAUUGGAGUGACAAAAAUUGUAUCAGACGGUUUUAAACAAGCAAGAAAGGCUUUAUUCAAGACCAUGCGGUAAGGGAGAGCCCCCAGCUCCUCUGCAGCACAUGGCAGGAGGGCUGAGGAGCCUGAGGGGCCACCGAGCAGGUGGGAGAGCCCUGGAGGCCUCAGCAGGGGGCCAGCCCCCUAACCCUCCUCAGAGGCCCCCUAACCCUCCACAGGGCUUGGGGGGCUGGGCCAUUUCUUUCUCGAUGCCUCAUUUUCCAAGGCAGCUCCCAGGCCUGAAGAAGGACAUUUCCUGGGCUGUGGAACUGGCCAGUGGCUGGAAGAAGAUUUACACCUGGAAGAGGCAGAGAGAGUUUACAAUUUUACGUUUUCCAAAGUCAGUGCUCUGGACAGGGGAGGUUGACACCCGAGUCAGGAAGAAAUCUGUCUGGAGUGAGCGAAGCCUGGGGGAGGGAAGGCCGCCUCGGCCGGGGUGUGGCCGGCAGCCAAGCUGUUGGCGCAGAGGUGUCCUGACCAUGGUGCUCCAGGAUCGCUGCUCUGGGCCCACCGGCAGGGUCCAGGGUUCCUGUGUCACCAGCCAGGGGCCUGACAGCUGGCUGAAGCCCUCACUUUCCUCCACAUGCCUGGCUUGGCUGGGAGGCCCCUGUUUGAGCCCCUCAUCCAUGCUGUCCUCACCGAGCAGCGGACUCUCAGUGGCUGUGCCUAGGAGUGUGCACUGCCCAGUGACCCUCAUGAUGCUCCACGCAUGCACAGGCGCGUCUGCAGGGCAGCUGGGUCCUCCACAGGCGUGUGAUCGGCAGGAGCCAACACCUCUGCUCUGCCCAGGUGUACCCAGGGCAAUGCUCUUCAUCCUGACGGCAGUGCGCCCAGCCUGCUGCUGACACGACAUAAGGAAGCUUCAGUGCAGAGGCUGAAGGACCCGUACCAGGGCUCCAGCAGCUCACAGUGGGUGGACAGGUCACUGCUGCAGCACCUGAGAUUGGGCAGGGUGGAGAGGCAGUGAGUCGGGGAUACGAUGGCGGAAGGGGAGGCGACCUCCCUCUGGGAUUCGAAUCCAGCCCUCCCACCUGGCAGUCAUGGGACCUCCCUAAGCGGUUUAACUGCCAAGUCCCAGAUCCCAUCUGUGAAGCCAGCCCUCCGACCAUGGCCUCUCGCAGGACCCCUGGGAAUCACCCUCAUCUGUCACUGUUUCCCCACCGGGACCCACCACCGAGGCUACCAGGGAAAAGCCACAGGAUUUGUUUGCAUCUGGGGAGGCAGCUCCACCUUCCUGGCAUGAAUGGUCACUAAUGAUUGGACUUUGUCAGCCUGCAAGGCAGGAAGGAGAUUUACUCUCCACAGACUGGACAGUCCUUAGCUUUGUGCUUGCCACAUAAAUGGCAUUUAAUACAUGCUCCCUGGACUCAGCACCACUCCUGAAGGCCUGUAUUGUGGUCAGCAGUUAUCAUUUCUUCCACAAAUGAGCUCAUUCUUCUCCUCUCAGGAUCAACCCUUUCGCCUUCACUGAGGCAUCAGACACCAGCAUUCGGAGGGACACCCACUCCAUCCUCUUCUCUCAGCUGCCUGUGGAAAUUCCCAUCUCAAACACGUGACUCCCCACAGAGUGGCACUCACUGAUCACGGAUCUUAACUUUAAAAGGUGAAAAAUAAGUCAAGGCUUAAGGUAAAGUAACGGGAGGUGUGGAUGUCUGAGCAAUGCGGUGAACCGAGUCACGGGGCCGCGGAGAUGUUCGCAGCUGGGACUUUCCAGGCCUCCCGAACGCAGAGCGCCCGAAGCCAUCAGUGGCCACAGAGUGUGUUUCAGGUGUGAUUUGGGGUCAUUUAUGCCAAUUUUAUUCUUCUUUUAUUUCCAUCUGGUUUUCUUUCUAUAAAUUGCAUACGUCAUGCAUGCUACGUUUUAUAGUCAUCCGUGUGACAUCCGUCUCGCACAGUGAGUUAAGGAGGACGUUCCGCUACAGCUGUACUUUUUACUCAGCAAAAUAAAAAAAGAAUAAAGAUGAGCUUGAAACUCCUUUGGAAUCACUACAUUAUCUGUUGCUUAGCAAAAGCAAUCCAUGAAUAACACACAUGUACACACAUGAUACACAUUCAUACACACACAAAAACACGUCUGCACAUAUGUGUAUACAUACACAUAGAGACAUAGGCACACAUGCUCUGAAGGUCUGCAUGGUGGAAAAUUCUAGACAUGUUCAUUUCUACUUCCUGCCAAGCGCUGAAAACUUGGUGUGCCUGAAAAAUCACUUGGCUUCUGUAACCAGAUUUACCAAAUUAAAAAAUUAAAACUGUCC